CACGUAGUUAGCCGUCCCUUUCUGGUAAGCUACCGUCACAGUGUGAACUUUCCACUCUCACACUCGUUCUUGACUUACAACAGAGCUUUACGACCCGAAAACCUUCUUCACUCACGCGGCGUUGCUCGGUCAGGGUUGCCCCCAUUGCCGAAGAUUCCCUACUGCUGCCUCCCGUAGGAGUCUGGGCCGUGUCUCAGUCCCAGUGUGGCCGAUCACCCUCUCAGGUCGGCUAUGUAUCGUCGCCUAGGUGAGCCGUUACCUCACCUACUAGCUAAUACAACGCAGGUCCAUCUUGUAGUGGAGCAAUUGCCCCUUUCAAAUAAAUGACAUGUGUCACCCAUUGUUAUGCGGUAUUAGCUAUCGUUUCCAAUAGUUAUCCCCCGCUACAAGGCAGGUUACCUACGCGUUACUCACCCGUUCGCAACUCAUUCAAGAAGAGCAAGCUCUCUCUUCAGCGUUCUACUUGCAUGUAUUAGGCACGCCGCCAGCGUUCGU
rnacentral:rRNA from 1 species